UAUGUAACCUCGUAGACAAAUAUAAUUUCAUAAUUGAAAAUAAAAAAACUGAAGGUUAGACCGUAGCCGAAAAACAGAAGGCUUGGAAGAUGCUGAGUAAAGAAUAAUAUAACGCCAACACCACUUAUGUACCCAUAACUACUGAGAAUUUACAAGCUGGGAACAAAAACCUGAAAACAAAGACGAAAAAACAGCACUCAAGUGAAAAAAUGCAGAUCUCAAAUAUACUUAGAUGUAAAGUUUUAGACGAGUCUGUAGUUCAGACAGUGGAGCUCCAUGGAUAAGACUGGGAAAUGGUGUCGGCUGAUGUUAAUUUCCCCCCAGAGGAAUGCCAAACAACAUUCAAUAUUUUAAGCAAAGAAGCGAAACAAUCAUCAAGCAAACUAAAACAACAAGCCAUAUUUUAAGAUUUAGGUAUAUAAUAUACAGUGGUAAUUAAUAAUAAUAAACAUGUUUUUAAAUCAA